rnacentral:rRNA from 1 species
GGAUGAACGUUGGCGGCGUGCCUAAUACAUGCAAGUCGAACGAAGACUGUAGUAAUACUGUCUUAGUGGCGAACGGGUGAGUAACGCGUGGGUGACCUGCCCCGAAGUGUGGGAUAACAGUCCGAAAGGAUUGCUAAUACUGCAUAAUAUCCAAGAGAUUAGAUGCUUUUGGAUUAAAGGAGUAAUUCGCUUCGGGAGGGGCCCGCGUCCCAUCAGCUAGUUGGUAAGGUAAUGGCUUACCAAGGCGAUGACGGGUAGGGGACCUGAGAGGGUGGCCCCCCACAAUGGAACUGAAACACGGUCCAUACACCUACGGGUGGCAGCAGUAGGGAAUAUUAGUAAUGGGCGAAAGCCUGAACUAGCAACGCCGCGUGUGCGAAGAAGGCCUUCGGGUCGUAAAGCACUUUUUGAGAGGAUGAGGAAGGACGGUACUCUCAGAAUAAGUCUCGGCUAACUACGUGCCAGCAGCCGCGGUAACACGUAGGAGGCAAACGUUAUCCGGAUUUACUGGGCGUAAAGCGCGUGUAGGUGGUUUGGUAAGUAGGGCGUGAAAGCUCCUGGCUCAACUGGGAGAGGACGUUCUAAACUGCCAAGCUUGAGGAUGGUAGAGGGAGGUGGAAUUCCGGGUGUAGCGGUGGAAUGCGCAGAUAUCCGGAGGAACACCAGUGGCGAAGGCGGCCUCCUGGACCACUCCUGACACUCAGACGCGAAAGCUAGGGUAGCAAACGGGAUUAGAGACCCCGGUAGUCCUAGCCCUAAACGAUGUAGACUUGGCGUCGGUGGUUUAAUCGCCAUCGGUGUCGUAGCUAACGCGAUAAGUCUACCGCCUGGGGACUACGGCCGCAAGGUUAAAACUCAUAGGAAUUGACGGGUCCCCGCACAAGCAGCGGAGCGUGUGGUUUAAUUCGAUGCUACACGAAGAACCUUACCUGGGUUUGACAUAGAGGUAGUAGGGAAGCGAAAGCGGACCGACCCUUCGGGGAGCCUCUACAGGUGUUGCAUGGCUGUCGUCAGCUCGUGUCGUGAGAUGUUCGGUUAAGUCCGCUAACGAGCGCAACCCUCGCUGUGUGUUACAAGUGUCACACGGUACUGCCGAUAUUAAGUCGGAGGAAGGUGUGGAUGACGUCAAGUCCUCAUGGCCCUUACGGGUUGGGCUACACACACGCUACAAUGGCCGAUACAAUAAGAAGCAAUACUGUGAAGUGGAGCAAAUCUGUAAAGUCGGUCUCAGUUCGGAUUGAAGUCUGCAACUCGACUUCAUGAAGCUAGAAUCGCUAGUAAUCCCAAAUCAGAAUGUUGGGGUGAAUACGUUCCCGGGUGU